GACGAACGCUGGCGGCGUGCUUAACACAUGCAAGUCGAACGGAAAGGCCCUGCUUUUGUGGGGUGCUCGAGUGGCGAACGGGUGAGUAACACGUGAGUAACCUGCCCUUGACUUUGGGAUAACUUCAGGAAACUGGGGCUAAUACCGGAUAGGAGCUCCUGCUGCAUGGUGGGGGUUGGAAAGUUUCGGCGGUUGGGGAUGGACUCGCGGCUUAUCAGCUUGUUGGUGGGGUAGUGGCUUACCAAGGCUUUGACGGGUAGCCGGCCUGAGAGGGUGACCGGCCACAUUGGGACUGAGAUACGGCCCAGACUCCUACGGGAGGCAGCAGUGGGGAAUAUUGCACAAUGGGCGGAAGCCUGAUGCAGCAACGCCGCGUGCGGGAUGACGGCCUUCGGGUUGUAAACCGCCUUCGCCUGUGACGAAGCGGGAGUGACGGUAAUGGGUAAAGAAGCACCGGCUAACUACGUG
rnacentral:rRNA from 1 species